UACAUCAUAAGUCAAUUGCUAAUGCACUGACUUACCAUGCUAAAAUUAUAUAUUUUUAAUUUUAAUAGCAUAAGUCAGUUUUAGAAAUGACUUAUGAUGCUACAUCAUAUGUCGGUUGUUAUUGGAUACAUACCAUGUUAAAAUUAGGGUGAAAAAAAAACACAAAUAAAAUUAAAUUAAGUAUCCCGCGCUCUUCUUCUUCUUCAGUGUACACCCCCGCGAAAAAAAUUUCUUCUCGUCUUCUUCAUUCUGCCAGCAACCCAAACUGCAGCGACUCUCCCUCCUCAACUCCGGUCACUCAGCUUCACCAGCAUACCGUUCGGCAACAGCCCCUUCUGUUGUUCGCCAGCGGUCUCCGGUCGUGGCAGCAUCUCUCACUGCGUUGUUCACCAACGGUCUCCGGUCAGUUGAGGGAGUAGAGUCUACCGAAAAUGGUUGAUCUAUUAGACUUGCAUCAUUGCUAGUUAAGGAAGAAGUAACUGAGAAGAGGAAGAAGAAAUUGAGAUGCUUUUGGAAAACUACCUCCAAAGACAAGACUUGAAGGUAUAACUGCAAGCAAGACUGGACAAUUUGUUGUCGUUCUGGAGGUUUUCAAAGUUGCGUCAGCUCUCUUCAUGGUAGAUGUCCGAAAAGCUGCUGGGGACACUCUUGAAUAUCACAAGGUUUUUGGUGGAAAUAUUAGCAAGGAUCAUUGCCAAGUGAAUUAAUUUGCUUGAUUAUUGUUAAUUGCAAGAGGAGGAUUUUAGUCCAAUUUUAGGGAAACCUCUGUCGAAUUUUUUCUAGGAAAUGGACAAGAGUUGGAUAACAAAGGACAGACUUUCAAAAGAGUAAGAAGAGGGAGUCGACAACUUUAUUAA